UACGUAGGGUGCGAGCGUUGUCCGGAAUUACUGGGCGUAAAGCGUGCGUAGACGGUUAUUUAAGUCGGGUGUGAAAGCCCCGGGCUCAACCUGGGAAUUGCAUUCGAGACUGAAUAGCUAGGGUACGGUAGAGGGAAGUGGAAUUUCCGGUGUAGCGGUGAAAUGCGUAGAUAUCGGAAGGAACAUCAGUGGCGAAAGCGACUUCCUGGACCAGUACCGACGUUCAGGCACGAAAGCGUGGGGAGCAAACAGG
rnacentral:rRNA from 1 species